GCAUAUCAAUAAGCGGAGGAAAAGAAACUAACAAGGAUUCCCCUAGUAGCGGCGAGCGAAGCGGGAAGAGCUCAAAUUUAUAAUCUGGCACCUUCGGUGUCCGAGUUGUAAUCUCUAGAAGUGUUUUCCGCGUUGGACCGCACACAAGUCUGUUGGAAUACAGCGGCAUAGUGGUGAAACCCCCGUAUAUGGUGCGGACGCCCAGCGCUUUGUGAUACACUUUCAAUGAGUCGAGUUGUUUGGGAAUGCAGCUCAAAUUGGGUGGUAAAUUCCAUCUAAAGCUAAAUAUUGGCGAGAGACCGAUAGCGAACAAGUACCGUGAGGGAAAGAUGAAAAGCACUUUGGAAAGAGAGUUAACAGUACGUGAAAUUGUUGGAAGGGAAACGCUUGAAGUCAGACUUGCUUGCCGGAGCUUGCUUCGGUUUGCAGGCCAGCAUCAGUUUUCCGGGGUGGAUAAUGACGGUUUGAAGGUAGCAGUCUCGGCUGUGUUAUAGCUUUCCGUUGGAUACAUCCUGGGGGACUGAGGAACGCAGCGUGCUUUUUGCGAAAGACUCGUCUUUUUCACGCUUAGGAUGCUGGUGGAAUGGCUUUAAACGACCCGUCUUGAAACACGGACCAAGGAGUCUAACAUGCUCGCGAGUAUUUGGGUGUCAAACCCGGAUGCGCAAUGAAAGUGAAUGUAGGUGGGAACCGCAAGGUGCACCAUCGACCGAUCUGGAUUUUUUAAGAUGGAUUUGAGUAAGAGCGCGUAUGUUGGGACCCGAAAGAUGGUGAACUAUGCCUGAAUAGGGCGAAGCCAGAGGAAACUCUGGUGGAGGCUCGUAGCGGUUCUGACGUGCAAAUCGAUCGUCAAAUUUGGGUAUAGGGGCGAAAGACUAAUCGAACCAUC
rnacentral:rRNA from 1 species